AUUGAACGCUGGCGGCAGGCCUAACACAUGCAAGUCGAACGGUAACAGGAAACAGCUUGCUGUUUCGCUGACGAGUGGCGGACGGGUGAGUAAUGUCUGGGAAACUGCCUGAUGGAGGGGGAUAACUACUGGAAACGGUAGCUAAUACCGCAUAACGUCGCAAGACCAAAGAGGGGGACCCUCGGGCCUCUUGCCAUCGGAUGUGCCCAGAUGGGAUUAGCUUGUUGGUGGGGUAACGGCUCACCAAGGCGACGAUCCCUAGCUGGUCUGAGAGGAUGACCAGCCACACUGGAACUGAGACACGGUCCAGACUCCUACGGGAGGCAGCAGUGGGGAAUAUGGCACAAUGGGCGCAAGCCUGAUGCAGCCAUGCCGCGUGUAUGAAGAAGGCCUUCGGGUUGUAAAGUACUUUCAGCGGGGAGGAAGGGAGUAAAGUUAAUACCUUUGCUCAUUGACGUUACCCGCAGAAGAAGCACCGGCUAACUCCG
rnacentral:rRNA from 1 species